rnacentral:rRNA from 1 species
CCCCUGACCAUCCCAGAGAUGGGAUUUUACCUUCGGGUACAGGGGACACAGGUGGUGCAUGGUUGUCGUCAGCUCGUGUCGUGAGAUGUUGGGUUAAGUCCCGCAACGAGCGCAACCCUUGCCUUUAGUUGCCAUCAUUAAGUUGGGCACUCUAGAGGGACUGCCGAUGACAAAUCGGAGGAAGGUGGGGAUGACGUCAAAUCAUCAUGCCCUUUAUGUCCUGGGCUACACACGUGCUACAAUGGUCGGUACAACGAGGAGCAACACAGCGAUGUGAAGCAAAUCUCUAAAAGCCGAUCCCAGUUCGGAUUGUAGGCUGCAACUCGCCUACAUGAAGUCGGAGUUGCUAGUAAUCGCGAAUCAGAACGUCGCGGUGAAUGCGUUCCCGGGUCUUGUACACACCGCCCGUCACACCAUGGGAGUUGGCAAUACCCGAAGCCAGUGAGCUAACCGUAAGGAGGCAGCUGUCGAAGGUAGGGUCGAUGACUGGGGUGA